CAGUAGCCACGGUAAUACGUAGGGGGCGAGCGUUGUCCGAAGUUACUGGGCGUAAAGAGCGCGUAGGCUGGUCUUUAAGUGAGUGGUGAAAGGUUCGGGCUCAACCCGGACACUGCCUUUCAUACUGGGGACCUUGAGUGUGGGAGAGGCGAGUGGAAUGGUCGGUGUAGUGGUGAAAUGCGUAGAGAUGUGGAGGAACACCAGUGGCGAAGGCGACUCUCUGGUCUGUAACUGACGCUGAGGAGCGAAAGCGUGGGGAGCGAACAGGAUUAGAUACCCGCGUAGUCCCUGUCUCUUAUAC
rnacentral:rRNA from 1 species